rnacentral:rRNA from 1 species
AUAGGGUGACCGUGUGCCUGUUGAAGAAUGAGCCGGCGACUUAUAGGCACUGGCGGGUUAAACCGGAAAUGGUGGAGCCAUAGCGAAAGCGAGUCUGAAUAGGGCGUUUGUCAGUGUUUAUAGACCCGAACCCGGGUGAUCUAACCAUGGCCAGGAUGAAGCUUGGGUGAUACCAAGUGGAGGUCCGAACCGACUGACGUUGAAAAGUCAGCGGAUGAGCUGUGGUUAGGGGUGAAAUGCCAAUCGAACCCGGAGCUAGCUGGUUCUCCCCGAAAUACGUUGAGGCGUAGCGUCUCGUGCUCCAGCAGGGGGGUAAAGCCACCAUUUCGGUGCGGGCUGCGAGAGCGGUACCAAAUCGAGAUGAACUCUGAAUACCCUGUGUGUAGCGAGGCAGUCAGACUGUGGGGGAUAAGCUCCAUGGUCGAGAGGGAAACAGCCCAGACCGCCAGCUAAGGUCCCCAAAUCAACACUAAGUGAUAAAGGAGGUGGGAUUGCCCAGACAACCAGGAGGUUUGCCUAGAAGCAGCCAUCCUCAAAGGAGUGCGUAAUAGCUCACUGGUCGAGCGAUCCUGCGCCGAAAAUGAAUGGGGCUAAGUGUUGUACCGAAGCUGCGGAUUUAUGGUAGGGGAGCGUUCUAUGUGGGGCGAAGCGUUAGCGUGAGCGGGCGUGGACUGCAUAGAAGUGAGAAUGUCGGCUUGAGUAGCGAAAACAUGGGUGAGAAUCCCAUGCACCGAAACCCUAAGGGUUCCUCCGGCAGGCUCGUCCGCGGAGGGUUAGUCUGGACCUAAGGCGAGGCCGAAAGGCGUAGUCGAUGGAUAACAGGUCAACAUUCCUGUACCGGUUAUGUUUUGGGAAGAGGGACGGAGAAGGCUAGCCAAGCCAGAUGUUGGUUACUGGUUCAAGCGUUCGAGGCGUUGAGGAUCGGCGAAAACGAUCCGAGCUGAGGCGUGAGUACGAGCUGCUACGGCAGCGAAGUUGGUGAUGUCAUGCUUCCAAGAAAAGCUCUAUACCCGUUAAGGCAUAACUGCCAGUACCCGAAACCGACACAGGUGGGGUGGUAGAGAAUACCGAGGUGCGCGAGGUAACUCUCUCUAAGGAACUCGGCAAAAUGGCCCCGUAACUUCGGGAGAAGGGGUGCCACAGCAAUGUGGUCGCAGUGAAGAGGCCCUGGCGACUGUUUACCAAAAACACAGGUCUCCGCUAAGUCGCAAGACGAUGUAUGGGGGCUGACGCCUGCCCAGUGCCGGAAGGUUAAGGAAGCCGGUCAGCGUAAGCGAAGCUGGCGACUGAAGCCCCGGUGAACGGCGGCCGUAACUAUAACGGUCCUAAGGUAGCGAAAUUCCUUGUCAGGUAAGUUCUGACCCGCACGAAUGGCGUAAUGACUUGGGCACUGUCUCAACAACAAAUCCGGCGAAAUUGAAUUGCGAGUGAAGAUGCUCGCUACCCGCGAUUGGACGGAAAGACCCCGUAGAGCUUUACUGUAGCUUAGCAUUGAGUUUCGAUAUUGUCUGUACAGGAUAGGUGGGAGACUGAGAAGUGAGGCCGUCAGGUUUCAUGGAGUCACCCUUGGGAUACCACCCUGACAGUAUUGGGAUUCUAACCGGGUACCAUGAAGCUGGUAACGGGACAUUGUUAGGUGGGCAGUUUGACUGGGGCGGUCGCCUCCUAAAAAGUAACGGAGGCGCCCAAAGGUUCCCUCAGUGCGGUUGGAAAUCGCGCGAAGAGUGCAAAGGCAGAAGGGAGCCUGACUGCGACACAGACAAGUGGAGCAGGGACGAAAGUCGGGCUUAGUGAUCCGGUGGUUCCUCGUGGGAGGGCCAUCGCUCAACGGAUAAAAGCUACCUCGGGGAUAACAGGCUGAUCUCCCCCAAGAGUCCACAUCGACGGGGAGGUUUGGCACCUCGAUGUCGGCUCGUCGCAUCCUGGGGCUGAAGUAGGUCCCAAGGGUUGGGCUGUUCGCCCAUUAAAGCGGCACGCGAGCUGGGUUCAGAACGUCGUGAGACAGUUCGGUCCCUAUCCGUCGCGGGC